CUUUGAUUAUGGCUCAGGAUGAACGCUAGCUACAGGCUUAACACAUGCAAGUCGAGGGGCAGCGGGAUUGAAGCUUGCUUCAAUUGCCGGCGACCGGCGCACGGGUGAGAACGCGUAUCCAACCUUCCGUACACUCAGGGAUAGCCCUUCGAAAGAAAGAUUAAUACCUGAUGGUAUGAUGAGAUUGCAUGAUAGCAUCAUUAAAGAUUUAUCGGUGUACGAUGGGGAUGCGUUCCAUUAGGUAGUAGGCGGGGUAACGGCCCACCUAGCCAACGAUGGAUAGGGGUUCUGAGAGGAGGGUCCCCCACAUUGGAACUGAGACACGGUCCAAACUCCUACGGGAGGCAGCAGUGAGGAAUAUUGGUCAAUGGACGAGAGUCUGAACCAGCCAAGUAGCGUGAAGGAUGAAGGUCCUACGGAUUGUAAACUUCUUUUAUAAGGGAAUAAACCCUCCCACGUGUGGGAGCUUGUAUGUACCUUAUGAAUAAGCAUCGGCUAACUCCGUGCCAGCAGCCGCGGUAAUACGGAGGAUGCGAGCGUUAUCCGGAUUUAUUGGGUUUAAAGGGAGCGCAGACGGGUCGUUAAGUCAGCUGUGAAAGUUUGGGGCUCAACCUUAAAAUUGCAGUUGAUACUGGCGUCCUUGAGUGCGGUUGAGGUGUGCGGAAUUCGUGGUGUAGCGGUGAAAUGCUUAGAUAUCACGAAGAACUCCGAUUGCGAAGGCAGCACACUAAUCCGUAACUGACGUUCAUGCUCGAAAGUGUGGGUAUCAAACAGGAUUAGAUACCCUGGUAGUCCACACGGUAAACGAUGGAUACUCGCUGUUGGCGAUAUACUGUCAGCGGCUUAGCGAAAGCGUUAAGUAUCCCACCUGGGGAGUACGCCGGCAACGGUGCAACUCAAAUGAAUUGACGGA
rnacentral:rRNA from 2 species